rnacentral:rRNA from 1 species
AUACGUAGGUGGCAAGCGUUGUCCGGAAUUAUUGGGCGUAAAGCGCAUGUAGGCGGCGUGUUAAGUCUGUCGUGAAACUGCGGGGCUCAGCCCCGUAUGGCGAUGGAAACUGAUGUGCUUGAGUGCAGGAGAGGAAAGGGGAACUCCCAGUGUAGCGGUGAAAUGCGUAGAUAUUGGGAAGAACACCGGUGGCGAAGGCGCCUUUCUGGACUGUGUCUGGCGCUGAGAUGCGAAAGCCAGGGUAGCGAACGGGAUUAGAUACCCCGGUAGUCCUGGCCGUAAACGAUGGGUACUAGGUGUGGGAGGUAUCGACCCCUUCCGUGCCGGAGUUAACGCAAUAAGUACCCCGCCUGGGGAGUACGGCCGCAAGGCUUAAACUCAAAGGAAUUGACGGGG